rfam:Hordeum vulgare subsp. vulgare, WGS project CAJW01000000 data, contig: morex_contig_49447
GAAGUACUCCCUCUGUUCUAAAAUUCUUGUCUUAGAUUUGUUUAGAUAUGAAUGUAUCUAGUUAUGUUUUAGUAUUUUGAUACAUUCAUUUUUAGACAAGCUUAAGACAAGAAUUUUGAGACGGAGGGCGUACAAA